CUGUGACCCUCCGCAGCACCGGCUGGAGCUCCGCAGCGCAUUGGCAUGGGAGCGGCUGCAGAAGAAAGAAGAAGCAGUGAGUGGGACUCCGGGAGGCAACAGCGAGCAAGAGGAGGAAGGGGAAGCCUGUGCAUGGGGGCGAAAGAGAGAGGCUCUCUGGGCAAAAGCACCUCCCUGUCAGCAGGGGCACAGUCACAUUUCGGUAGAGCGCUGCCGGCACCUUGGGUGACCAGGCCGGCUUUUGUGCUGGGCGACCUCCCUGUAAGCAGGGCUCGGGUCUUUGCUGUAGUUGGCCUUUUGCCUUGUUGCUCCUUUGGCUGCCUGGGGAGCGUGGCCCCCCGUACAGAGGGCAAGAGCCACCUCCCCGCACCCGAGUGGGAAAUGGAGCUCGCUGGACCCCAA